rnacentral:ncRNA from 2 species
AUUGGGAAUGCAGUGAGAAUCUGCAACUGUACCCGCAACUGUAUAUUGUUUGUUAAGUCGUUUCAGCAAGCAUAAGUCAGAUACCA